rnacentral:rRNA from 1 species
UACGUCGGGGGCGAGCGUUGUCCGGAUUUACUGGGCGUAAAGGGCAUGCAGGCGGUCGGACGCGUUUCGGGUGACAGCGGGUGGCUUAACUACCCGAGUGGUCGAAAGACGGUGUGACUUGAGGACGCGAGAGGGACACGGAAUUCCGGGUGGAGUGGUGAAAUGCGUAGAGAUCCGGAGGAACACCGAAGGCGAAGGCAGUGUCCGGGCGCGUAACUGACGCUGAGGUGCGAAAGCCAGGGGAGCGAACGGG